rnacentral:rRNA from 1 species
UGGGGAAUAUUGCACAAUGGGGGAAACCCGUGAUGCAGCGACGCCGCGUGGAGGAAGAAGGUCUUCGGAUUGUAAACUCCUGUUGUUGAGGAAGAUAAUGACGGUACUCAACAAGGAAGUGACGGCUAACUACGUGCCAGCAGCCGCGGUAAAACGUAGGUCACAAGCGUUGUCCGGAAUUACUGGGUGUAAAGGGAGCGCAGGCGGGAGAACAAGUUGGAAGUGAAAUCCAUGGGCUCAACCCAUGAACUGCUUUCAAAACUGUUUUCUUGAGUAGUGCAGAGGUAGGCGGAAUUCCCGGUGUAGCGGUGGAAUGCGUAGAUAUCGGGAGGAACACCAGUGGCGAAGGCGGCCUACUGGGCACCAACUGACGCUGAGGCUCGAAAGUGUGGGUAGCAAACA